GGCUCCUUCAAGUUUACCCGGCUUAAUGGUCGGGAGGUUAUUUUCACGGAUUCUCUUAAUGAUCCGAAGUCAGAAGUUUACCGCAAUCUGGAAAACCUUUGUUACAAAAUCCUCCACGAUGUUUUGAUGAACAUCGUAAGCGCAAAAAACAAUGAGUGGGAUGUUGAAAUUACUGGAUUCUCGUCGGGCAGCGUCGUUGUCGAUUUUGAAGUCGUGGUCUUCGACUCCGAUAGGGCUAACCUCAACGCCGAAGCAGCAGCAGUAGAGACAUCCCUGGGACUUCAACAGCCAGGCGUUUGGCAAACUGCGGAUGGUUCUGUCAGUCUCAAUGUGGAAUCCAUUGUUGCUUUCGGUGAAAUCUGCCUUACUAAUCCAUGUUCAAAUGGGAUGUGUGUUACGUCGCCCGGAGACAUAGAUUACAGAUGCAUUUGUCAUUAUGGAUAUACGGGACAAUAUUGUGAAACAGGUGAGCGACCAUUAAUUCCUCAAGCACUUUCUUUAAAGAAAAAUCCAACCU